rnacentral:lncRNA from 1 species
GGAGGUGUGGUGUAAGCUUUGGGACUCCGGUGGUUGGGAGCCAAGUGGUGGCUUGGGAAGCUGGAAACAAAGGUGGGCUGCAGAUGCCUGGAGCAAGGCUGUGUGGGAGCCUCCCGCGGGGUCGUCCCUGAGCACAAGAGAGAGCCAGGAUCCUAUAGACAACACCUUUUAUGUGGCAAGUUAUUUUUGCUGUGAAGCCACGUGGUUGCGCCAGUCAAGCAUGUCCCCUGUGCCGCCUGAGGUCUGCUGGACACCACAUUCCGAGAGACAUUUCCUGUCAGCUUCAUUGUGCUUCACAGAGCUGGUGGCCAUAUGAGUUGCUCAUUAAGGUGGCCUAUUGUCUCAGCCACUCUUCACUUCCUCAGGUCAGUUUGUUCUCUUGCACGAGGACUAAGCUGCUGGUUUCUUUGAGCUUCCCAUCCAGAGAUACAGUCCGUAGGAAAACCAUGAGAUCAGGAUAAAAAGUCCAGGCUGGUGCCCAGGGGCAUGGUUUAUUCUGAGUCCCACGGAGGAUUACUUUGGGCAAUCACAGGGUGAAUGUGAAUGCUGAUUACAUCUGCAGGUACCAGCCAAAGGAAAUGAAGUGUAACUAUAUAAUGUUAGGCAAAUUUAAAGGAUUGUUAUUUCUACUGGGCAAGAUAGCUACUUCCCAGCUUAAGAGAAUAACCUCUGAGGUCAAAUCCAAAUUGCCUGUUUUAUGCUUCUGUGAGUCUCAGGACAAUACAAGAAAGCUUUCGGUAGAGGAACCACGCCUCUUGGACAGCCAUCUGUGCCCCUUCACUGUUCCCUGUGUGACCUCUCUGAAUGGUGGUCCAGCCUAGCUCAGCUGUGACGUGACUUGAGGAAAAAAGGGGAGAGAGCUCACAUGGAUUCCCAGCUCAAUUCUGAUAUUAGAAAGCUCUGGGCAUUGCAGGUUCUGCUGGGCUCCCAGGGGCCAGGCUGGUUCUGACCUCACCUUGCUCUGGCUGGUCUCCACUUACUUCAUGUCCCAUGGGGAAUAACACCUCUCUGAAGGUGUUGAGCUGCAGUGGUUGUUUUUCUGGCUGCUACAUGAUACUCAGUCACCUGUUUGCUGUCACACUUGCCACUCGGAGUAACAAUGAAUUAUUUGAUGAAUUGUUUGCCGAUCUUUCUUGCUUCCAAGCUGUGAGCAACUCUAGACUUGGCUAUAAUUGAUCCCCAAGACCCUUUGGUGCACAGCUGAAGCCCCACCCACACCAGAGGAAGUGCCGGAGGCAGAAAAGAAGAAAUCAACACACACACUGCCUCUGUCCCAAUCAGCAUCCAAGGAAGUCUCAAGGUGAGGCUGCAAUGCAGCCUUCUCAACAGGAUUCUAUAGAGAAGUGGGAUGCUAACUGAUUUCCAGAGGUGGCCUUGUUCCAGGGCUCUCUGAAAAUGCUACCUGGUGAUGAACUUGACUUUGUUCUUCUGAGCUAAGGGCACUGGCCCAGUGGGCCAUCUCACCAUGGCUCUACUCACCUGGUGGCCAGCAGAGUCCACUGAGAGCUGACUUCUGGGAGUCGUUGCUGGAAGAGAGUCUGGCAGGAAGAAUUGUCAAGUAUCUCAGCUGACUCCCCAGAGGAGAUGAAUAUCCUCCCCAGGGACAGCCAAGAUGCAUCCAGGCAGGAGCUCAUUUCCAUCCCAAAUUGGCUCCAGAGGGCGAAGGCUUCUGGGAGAUACCA